GAUGAACGCUAGCGGCAGGCCUAAUACAUGCAAGUCAAGGGGACCAGCAAUGGUCACCGGCGGACGGGUGCGUAACGCGUACACAACCUACCCUUAAGAGGGAGAUAGCGGCGGGAAACUGCCGGUAAUACCCCAUGGUAUUAUUGAAUCGCCUGGUUUGAUAAUUAAAGUUCCGGCGCUUAAGGAUGGGUGUGCGUCUGAUUAGCUAGUUGGCGAGGUAACGGCUCACCAAGGCGACGAUCAGUAGGGGGGUGUGAGGGCAUGGCCCCCCACACGGGUACUGAGACACGGACCCGACUCCUACGGGAGGCAGCAGUAAGGAAUAUUGGACAAUGGACGGAAGUCUGAUCCAGCCAUGCCGCGUGAAGGAAGAAGGCGCUCAGCGUUGUAAACUUCUUUUGGAUGGGAAGAAAUCGCACGGGUUAAUACCCUGUGUGGAUGACGGUACCGGAAUAAGAAGCACCGGCUAACUACGUG
rnacentral:rRNA from 1 species